rnacentral:rRNA from 1 species
CCUACGGGAGGCAGCAGUGGGGAAUAUUGGGCAAUGGGCGAAAGCCUGACCCAGCAACGCCGCGUGAAGGAAGACGGCUCUCGGGUUGUAAACUUCUUUUGACAGGGAAGAGCAGAAGACGGUACCUGUCGAAUAAGCCACGGCUAACUACGUGCCAGCAGCCGAGGUAAUGCGGGGGUGGCAGGCGUUGUCCGGAUUUACUGGGUGUAAAGGGCGUGUAGCCGGGCAGACAAGUCAGAUGUGAAAUCCGGGGGGCCAACCCCCGAACUGCAUUUGAAACUGUUUGUCUUGAGUAUCGGAGAGGCAGGCGGAAUUCGUGGUGUAGCGGUGAAAUGCGUAGAUAUUACGAAGAACACCGGUGGCGAAGGCAGCGUGCUGGAGGACAACUGACGGUGAGGCGCGAAAGCGUGGGUAGCGAACAGGAUUAGAUACCCUAGUAGUC